rnacentral:lncRNA from 1 species
GCUAAUUUUAGCCCCUUGGCCAGGUCGGUUAGAAAUGACCUUAUUCAAUUGGAAAUAUUAGAUAAUGACAUAAUGUAACAUGAUAUGUUGGUUUAGUCGCAUUCACUAUAUUAUUAAAUUGUGAUAAUAUUAAGACUUAUUGUGGGUGUACUAAUUCCGCUGUAAUAUAAAACAAACUUGACAUCAAAUAUGAGUAAAAAUUAUUCACAUUGCAAACAAAUUUGCUAUUCAUAAAACAAUUUAAAAACUGAAAAUUUUGAAACUAAGAAAUGAUUCCCACUUUGAGAUUGAGAAAUGUUUUCAAAAAGAUACUUUCCCAAGUUCCGUAUUUAAAAUCGUAUUGGCUUUCGACCAAGGGCAUGCAUGCUGCCAAGAGGAUUGUGCUUUUGGAUUGGCUUUGGUCAGAAACCAACGGAUAAGGACAUCGACAAACAUAAUUCUUGCUUCUCUGGCUAAUUCGCUAUCUGCAGUGUUUAAUAUCCUAACUUGUCAUUUGGUUUAAGAUGUUGAAUAUAUACCAAGUUCUUUUGUGACUAAAUUAUGAAUUUAUGUUAUAGUUUGAUAAAUUUAUAAUAUUAAGAAAUUCAUGUCCACGAGAUUAUAGUUUAGCCAAUAAUUUCUCAAACGAAAGUGAUAGAAUUAACUAACUAAAGUGUUUAAACAAGAUGAUUUAGAUUUUUGGUGCAGGUAAAUUACACGAUAAUGGUCAUGGAAAACUGAAAUGUCUAUGUGAGUUUUUUUCAUCAAAUCCCAAAAAAGUGGACUAUCUUGACUUUGUCACCAGAUAGUCUCCUUUAAACAAAAGUGUUUAAACAAGAUGGGUACCAAAUG